GUGCUAAGGUAGCAUAAUCAUUUGUCUUUUAAAUAAAGACUAGAACAAAAGAUUAUACAUUUUAAUUUAUAUUUAUUUUUUAUAAAAUUUAAAUUUUCUUAAAUGUAAAAAGGCACUUAUAUUAAAGAAAGACGAUAAGACCCUAUUGAACUUAACUUCAGUUAAACUGGGGCAGUAAAUUAAUUAUAAUUUUAAUUAAAAAUCAAUUUAAUCAAAAUCCAAAACAUUUGAUUAAUUCAGUUACCAUAGGGAUAACAGCAUAAUUAAAUUAUAGAGCCCUCAUCUAAAAAUUAGAUUAUGACCUCGAUGUUGAAUUAAUAACCUAUUUAAAAGCAAAGCUUAAACAAAGGAAGUCUGUUCGACUUUUAAAAAUUUACAUGAUUUGAGUUCAGACCGGUAUAAGCCAGGUCGGUUUCUAUCUUCUGAAUAUUUUUCUACAGUACGAAAGGACCUAAAAAUUUAAUUUAAUUAUCAAAUUGGCAGAAAAUUGCAUUAGAAUUAGAAUCUAACAAAACUUGA
rnacentral:rRNA from 1 species